AUUGAACGCUGGCGGCAGGCCUAACACAUGCAAGUCGAGCGAGCGGCGGACGGGUAAGUAAUGUCUGGGAAACUGCCUGAUGGAGGGGGAUAACUACUGGAAACGGUAGCUAAUACCGCAUACCAUCAGAUGGGCCCAGAUGGGAUUAGCUAGUAGGUGUGGUAAUGGCUCACCUAGGCGACGAUCCCUAGCUGGUCUGCGAGGAUGACCAGCCACACUGGAACUGAGACACGGGCCAGACGCCUAUGGGAGGCAGCAGUGGGGAAUAUUGCACAAUGGGCGAAAGCCUGAUGCAGCCAUGCCGCGUGUGUGAAGAAGGCCGUCGGGUUGUAAAGCACUUUCUGCGAGGAGGCGUUACCCGCAGAAGAAGCACCGGCUAACUCCGUGCCAGCAGCCGCGGUAAUAC
rnacentral:rRNA from 1 species